rnacentral:rRNA from 1 species
AGAACGAACGCUGGCGGCAGGCCUCAAACAUGCAAGUCUAGGGGGUGUAGCAAUACAUCACCGGCGGACGGGUGCGUAACGCGUGGGAAUGUACCUAUUGGUUCGGAACAACUGAGGGAAACUUCAGCUAAAUACCGAAUAAGCCCGAAAGGGGAAAGAUUUCUCGCCAAUAGAUCAGCCCGCGUCCGAUUAGCUAGUUGGUGGGGUAAAAGCCUACCAAGGCGACGAUCGGUAGCUGUUCUGAGAGGAAGAUCAGCCACACUGGGACUGAGACACGGCCCAGACUCCUACGGGAGGCAGCAGUUGGGAAUCUUGGACAAUGGGGGAAACCCUGAUCCAGCCAUGCCGCGUGAGUGAUGAAGGCCUUCGGGUUGUAAAACUCUUUCGACGGGGACGAUAAUGACGGUACCCGUAGAAGAAGCUCCGGCUAACUUCGCGCCAGCAGCCGC